rnacentral:pre_miRNA from 1 species
ACCCUAUCUAUAUUGCGUCUGCUUUGAAUUUCUGCCUUAAGUAGUGCAAUAUCGCUUAUAGGGUUU